GCGUCGAUGGUGCAAUGGUUCAGCACAUGCUCCCGGAGAGUAAGAUCUGGGUUCGAAUCUCGGCUGACGCA